UUGAACGCUGGCGGGCAGCGCCUAACACAUGCAAGUCGAGCGGCAGCGGGAAAGUAGCUUGCUACUUUUGCCGGCGAGCGGCGGACGGGUGAGUAAUGCCUGGGAAAUUGCCCAGUCGAGGGGGAUAACAGUUGGAAACGACUGCUAAUACCGCAUACGCCCUACGGGGGAAAGCAGGGGACCUUCGGGCCUUGCGCGAUUGGAUAUGCCCAGGUGGGAUUAGCUAGUUGGUGAGGUAAUGGCUCACCAAGGCGACGAUCCCUAGCUGGUCUGAGAGGAUGAUCAGCCACACUGGAACUGAGACACGGUCCAGACUCCUACGGGAGGCAGCAGUGGGGAAUAUUGCACAAUGGGGGAAACCCUGAUGCAGCCAUGCCGCGUGUGUGAAGAAGGCCUUCGGGUUGUAAAGCACUUUCAGCGAGGAGGAAAGGUUGAUGCCUAAUACGUANCAACUGUGACGUUACUCGCAGAAGAAGCACCGGCUAAACU
rnacentral:rRNA from 1 species